rfam:Pteropus alecto contig80300, whole genome shotgun sequence.
GUCUACAGCCAUGCCACCCUGAGCAAGCCUAAUCCUGUCUAAUCUCAGAAGCUAAACUGGGUAGGGCCUGGUUAGUACCUGGAUGGGAGACUAUCUAGGAAGACCAGGUGCUGUAGGUG